UACGAAGGGGGCUAGCGUUGCUCGGAAUUACUGGGCGUAAAGCGCACGUAGGCGGCUUUCUAAGUCGGGGGUGAAAUCCUGGAGCUCAACUCCAGAACUGCCUUCGAUACUGGAAGGCUCGAGUCCGGGAGAGGUGAGUGGAACUGCGAGUGUAGAGGUGAAAUUCGUAGAUAUUCGCAAGAACACCAGCGGCGAAGGCGGCUCACUGGCCCGGUACUGACGCUGAGGUGCGAAAGCGUGGGGAGCAAACAGG
rnacentral:rRNA from 1 species